rnacentral:piRNA from 1 species
UUAUUAUAAGCAGGUGCCAUGAAGACAA